rnacentral:rRNA from 1 species
AGCGAACGUUAGCGGCGCGCCUAACACAUGCAAGUCGCACGAGAAAGGGAGCAAUCCCCGGUACAGUGGCGCACGGGUGAGUAACACGUAGAUGACCUUCCCUGGAGUGGUGGAUAACCUGCCGAAAGGCGGGCUAAUACAGCAUGGGACCACAUGGUUUUGACCGAGUGGUGAAAGCGGGCCUCUGUUCACAAGCUCGCGCUCUGGGAUGGGUCUGCGUCCCAUCAGCUAGUUGGUGAGGUAAUGGCUCACCAAGGCAUCGACGGGUAGCUGGUCUGAGAGGAUGACCAGCCACACUGGAACUGAGACACAGUCCAGACUCCUACGGGAGGCAGCAGUGGGGAAUCUUGCGCAAUGGGCGAAAGCCUGACGCAGCGACGCCGCGUGGGUGAUGAAGGCC